rnacentral:rRNA from 1 species
GAUGAACGCUAGCUACAGGCUUAACACAUGCAAGUCGAGGGGAAACGAUAGAGAAAGCUUGCUUUUUCUAGGCGUCGACCGGCGCACGGGUGAGUAACGCGUAUCCAACCUGCCCAUCACUUGGGGAUAACCUUGCGAAAGUAAGACUAAUACCCAAUGAUAUCUCUAGAAGACAUCUGAAGGAGAUUAAAGAUUUAUCGGUGAUGGAUGGGGAUGCGUCUGAUUAGCUUGUUGGCGGGGUAACGGCCCACCAAGGCGACGAUCAGUAGGGGUUCUGAGAGGAAGGUCCCCCACAUUGGAACUGAGACACGGUCCAAACUCCCACGGGAGGCAGCAGUGAGGAAUAUUGGUCAAUGGGCGAGAGCCUGAACCAGCCAAGUAGCGUGCAGGAUGACGGCCCUAUGGGUUGUAAACUGCUUUUAUAAGGGAAUAAAGUGAGCCUCGUGAGGCUUUUUGCAUGUACCUUAUGAAUAAGGACCGGCUAAUUCCGUGCCAGCCGCCGCCGUAA